GCCUACGGGUGGCUGCAGUGGGGAAUUUUGGACAAUGGGGGCAACCCUGAUCCAGCCAUGCCGCGUGCGGGAAGAAGGCCUUCGGGUUGUAAACCGCUUUUGUCAGGGAAGAAACGCUCUGAGCUAAUACCUUGGGGUAAUGACGGUACCUGAAGAAUAAGCACCGGCUAACUACGUGCCAGCAGCCGCGGUAAUACGUAGGGUGCAAGCGUUAAUCGGAAUUACUGGGCGUAAAGCGUGCGCAGGCGGUCUUGCAAGACAGAUGUGAAAUCCCCGGGCUCAACCUGGGAACUGCAUUUGUGACUGCAAGGCUGGAGUGCGGCAGAGGGGGAUGGAAUUCCGCGUGUAGCAGUGAAAUGCGUAGAUAUGCGGAGGAACACCGAUGGCGAAGGCAAUCCCCUGGGCCUGCACUGACGCUCAUGCACGAAAGCGUGGGGAGCAAACAGGAUUAGAUACCCUGGUAGUC
rnacentral:rRNA from 1 species